GAUGAACGCUGGCGGCGUGCCUAAUACAUGCAAGUCGAGCGAACAGACGAGGAGCUUGCUCCUCUGACGUUAGCGGCGGACGGGUGAGUAACACGUGGAUAACCUACCUAUAAGACUGGGAUAACUUCGGGAAACCGGAGCUAAUACCGGAUAAUAUAUUGAACCGCAUGGUUCAAUAGUGAAAGACGGUUUUGCUGUCACUUAUAGAUGGAUCCGCGCCGCAUUAGCUAGUUGGUAAGGUAACGGCUUACCAAGGAAACGAUGCGUAGCCGACCUGAGAGGGUGCCGGGCCACACAGGACGGGAGACGGGGUACAGACUCACAGGAGGGGAAAGAGGGGAAAAUCUGCCACAAGGGGCGAACCCCAGACGGACCAACGCCGCGUGAGUAAUGAAGUUCUGGGAAUCGAAAACCUCUUUUAUUGGGAAAAAAAAAAGUGGUAAAAAACUAGGCCCUUUGUGAGGGUACAAAAAAAAAACGCCAGGGAAAACUACG
rnacentral:rRNA from 1 species